rnacentral:rRNA from 1 species
UACGGAGGGUGCAAGCGUUAAUCGGAAUCACUGGGCGUAAAGAGUGCGUAGGCGGUACGUUAGGUCUGUCGUGAAAUCCCCGGGCUCAACCUGUGAAUGGCGGUAGAAACCGGCGCACUAGAGUAUGGGAGAGGAUGGUGGAAUUCCUGGUGUAGCGGUGAAAUGCGCAGAUAUCUGGAGGAACAUCGGUGGCGAAGGCGGCCCUCUGGCCCAAUACUGACGCUGAGGAACGAAAGCGUGGGGAGCGAACAGGAUUAGAUACCCUGGUAGUCCACGCCCUUAACGAUGAAUCCUAGAUGUUUGGUUCCUAGCGUGGUGAGCGUCGUAGAUAUCGCGCUAUGUAUUCCGCCUGGGAAGUGCGCGCGCACGGGUAUAACUCAAAGGAGUUGACGGGGGGCCGCACACGCGGUGGAGCACGUGGGGUAAUUUGAUGCAACGCGAAGAGCCUUUCCUGGGCGUGACACGUCCGGAAUCAUGCAGAGAUGCGGGAGUGCCCUUCGGGGAAUCGGAACACAGGUGGCGCAUGGCUGUUGUCAGCUCGUGUCGUGAGAUGGUGGGAUAAGUCGCGCAGCGAGCGCAACCCUUGUCAUUAGUUCACAGCGGUUCGGCCGGGCAUUGUAGGGAGCCUGCCGGUGCCAAUCCGGAGGAAGGUGGGGAGGACGUCAAGUCUUCAUGGCCUUUAUGUCCAGGGCUCCCCCCGUGUUCCAAGGGCGCGUCCAGAGGGAAGGCAAGCCGGGAGGGGGAGCAGUCCCCAGAAAGCGCGUUGUAGUUGGGUCGGCAGUUUGCACUUGGACUGCAGGAAUUGGGAAUCGUUGGUAAUCGCGGUUCAGCAUGCCGCGGUGAAUACGUUCCCGGGCCU